GUGUCAGCAGCCGCGGUAAUACGGAGGGUGCAAGCGUUAAUCGGAAUUACUGGGCGUAAAGAGUGCGUAGGCGGCUCGUUAAGUCAGAUGUGAAAGCCCUGGGCUCAACCUGGGAACUGCAUUUGAAACUGGCGAGCUAGAGUUGAGUAGAGGUAAGUGGAAUUUCAGGUGUAGCGGUGAAAUGCGUAGAUAUCUGAAGGAACACCAGUGGCGAAGGCGACUUACUGGACUCAAACUGACGCUGAGGUACGAAAGCGUGGGUAGCAAACAGGAUUAGAAACCCCCGUAGUCC
rnacentral:rRNA from 1 species